GAUGAACGCUGGCGGCGUGCCUAAUACAUGCAAGUCGAGCGAAGCGGGGACGGGUGAGUAAAACGUGGGUAACCUCCUAUAAGACUGGGAUAAAUUAGGGAAACCGGAGCUAAACCGGAUACUUAUACAUGGAUCCGCUCUGCAUUAGCUAGUUGGUAAGGUAACGGCUUACCAAGGCAACGAUGCAUAGCCGACCUGAGAGGGUGACCGGCCACACUGGAACUGAGACACGGUCCAGACUCCUACGGGAGGCAGCAGUAGGGAAUAUUGCGCAAUGGGCGAAAGCCUGACGGAGCAACGCCGCGUGUGUGAUGAAGGUCUUCGGAUCGUAAAACUCUGUUAUUAGGGAAGCGGUACCUAAUCAGAAAGCCACGGCUAACUACGUGCCAGCAGCCGCGGUAAUUC
rnacentral:rRNA from 1 species